rnacentral:rRNA from 1 species
CAAUAGCGUAUAUUAAAGUUGUUGCGGUUAAAAAGCUCGUAGUUGGAUUUCUGCCGAGGACGACCGGUCCGCCCUCCGGGUGAGUAUCUGGCUCGGCCUGGGCAUCUUCUUGGAGAACGUAGCUGCACUUGGCUGUGUGGUGCGGUAUUCAGGACUUUUACUUUGAGGAAAUUAGAGUGUUUCAAGCAGGCAUACGCCUUGAAUACAUUAGCAUGGAAUAAUAAGAUAGGACCUCGGUUCUAUUUUGUUGGUUUCUAGAUCUGAGGUAAUGAUUAAUAGGGAUAGUUGGGGGCAUUCGUAUUUAACUGUCAGAGGUGAAAUUCUUGGAUUUGUUAAAGACGGACUACCGCGAAAGCAUUUGCCAAGGAUGUUUUCAUUGA